rnacentral:rRNA from 1 species
AACGCGAAGAACCUUACCAAGGUUUGACAUGGACGGAAAUCCUCCAGAGAUGGGGGGUCCUUCGGGGCCGUUCACAGGUGGUGCAUGGCUGUCGUCAGCUCGUGUCGUGAGAUGUUGGGUUAAGUCCCGCAACGAGCGCAACCCUCGUCCAAUGUUGCCAGCGGGUAAUGCCGGGGACUCAUUGGAGACUGCCGGGGUCAACUCGGAGGAAGGUGGGGAUGACGUCAAGUCAUCAUGCCCCUUAUGUCUUGGGCUGCAAACAUGCUACAAUGGCCGGUACAAAGCGCUGCGACACCGUGAGGUGAAGCGAAUCGCAUAAAGCCGGUCUCAGUUCGGAUCGGGGUCUGCAACUCGGCCCCGUGAAGCCGGAGUCGCUAGUAAUCGCGGAUCAGCAACGCCGCGGUGAAUACGUUCCCGGGCCUUGUACACACCGGAGUA